UGAGAUCAGAGUGCGGCUACUGUUUAAUCUAUUGAGAAUAUACGCCAAAAUGAAAGCAACAAUUUUGUUAAUCGUGGCGCUUGUGCUUUUGGCAUCAUACACUGAUUUAUGUGAAGGGGAGCCAAGGUGGCCACAUUCCCAGACCUACAAUAACAAGCCGAGACAUCCGCAGCGAACCUUACGAUUUGCGUUGGGAGGAUAUCGUAAACUUAUUGGGCGAUAAGCAAAAUUAAGGUGUACCGAUUAUUAUGAAUAGACGAUGUUGGAUACUUUAUGAAAUUCUAUGUAAACUUUCUUUCACAAUUCAGUAAAUUAAAUCACUGAAAGCGU